ACGGGUGAGUAAUGUCUGGGAAACUGCCUGAUGGAGGGGGAUAACUACUGGAAACGGUAGCUAAUACCGCAUAACGUCGCAAGACCAAAGAGGGGGACCUUCGGGCCUCUUGCCAUCAGAUGUGCCCAGAUGGGAUUAGCUAGUAGGUGGGGUAACGGCUCACCUAGGCGACAAUCCCUAGCUGGUCUGAGAGGAUGACCAGCCACACUGGAACUGAGACACGGCCCAGACUCCUACGGGAGGCAGCAUG
rnacentral:rRNA from 1 species